rnacentral:lncRNA from 1 species
UUCUCCAUAUACACCAACUAACGAAGCCCACCAAAAUGAGUGACCCCUUCCAUCUCUAUUGUUGGUGAACUCACUGAAAACGAGUGAGCUGCGCCCCUAAAUUUCCAACGAACCCGACCUGGUAAAAGGACCCCUCAGCCGCACCCUAUCAGAAAAUAGAGAGAACGAUCCAGCCCCCCACCCUCAAGAACACCCAGAUACAAACACACACAUAUACGAAGGGGGGAAUGACCAGAUCUGAAUUCAAAAAUUAGAAGGUUGGAUUGAGUCGAGUUCGUCGAGGUUGUCGCUCGUAGUUCGAGUUUCCGUCGGCGUCUCUUGUGUAUUCUGUUCGGAAGAAAUUUGUAAUUGGAAAAGCUCAAUUACAGGUCUAAUUCUUACACUACCUUUUGAAUGUUUAUUGUAAUUCUUGUGGAUGUUGGGUGAAGAUGGAAUGCACUCCAAUUGUUUUCUAUGCUUGAUUAUUUGUUUGCAAUUUGAUUCCCCAUUUUAGCCUAUUUUUUGAUUCGUAAUCUUACAUCUAUUAACUGGUUCAAUCCAUUCAUCAAAAAAUGGUGCAUUACUUUCUUAGGCUGCUGCUGCUGAUUUUCUGUCUCUAAUUUCAUUCUUUUGGCAUCAUUAUAAUACUGAUGAUGAACUUUUGAUGAUUCAUUUAAGCUUUGAAGUUGUAAGUAAGAAGAAAUUGAGUGUCCUGUAUUCUGUGAUAGAGAGUAAGUCUUCUGUUUCAUUGGUAAAGCCAUUGUUAAUGGGUUUCAACUUGUUUGAUUAAGUCUGUUGUUUGUUAUUUUUUAAUGCCAAAAGGAUAUUUAUCUCCAUUAUGUUUGUAAGCAUCUGGCAUUUUAUUAAUUGAAUUGAAUGCAGCUUGACUACUGUGGUUUAUUCGUGCAAUCAAUUUCUAGUGUUAAUGUUGAAUUUGGUUUGCUCUGUUGUGGUUUUUAAGUUUUAGAUCUGUGACUAUUUAACUAAGAUGUUUACAUUGGCUAGUGUAAAAAGAAAUUCUUUGUUGAAGAAAUGCUUCCGAGCACUUUGCUGAAGAAUAGUGUAUUAAUUAAUUUAAUUGAAAUUGUUUUAACUGUUAUCCUUUUGACGGUUAUCUAUUGUGGCUGGAAUAAUUAUUUUAGGAAAUUAGUCAAAAAAAUGGAGUAGUACAAUCAGGAGCACUCUUUCUAGAGUUUUUUUUUGUCCAUAUGUGCAUAUAUAUUUUUAUUGGGCGAUUUUGUGGAAAACAAUUACUACGCGGUUUAAAUUUAUAUGACUUUAUUUGAUUGAGCGACUUUAUCUUUGCAAUAAUCUUGAAGUAGCUUAGAAAGGAAAAAUAUGAUAUACGUAGUUCUUUUAAUUGAAAGUAUUUCCUUUGAAAUAAAUUAAGGCGCGCCAUUCACACAAUUGAACCACCCAAUAUAUGGCCCUCAUAUUAAUUAUCUUAACUAGUAUAGAAAAUAGCUUAUGAAUAUUCUUAGUUUUCUUUAGGCAUGUUUAAUAUACUAUCAUGGUUGUGGACACAUUCGCGUGACAUGAUUACGAUUUCUAAAAACAAAACUGGAGUAUGCGUUCGCGCAACUUUGGCCAAACUUCCUUAUUAAUAAUAAAUCUUUAUUAAUUGUGGACACGUUCACGUGACAUGAUUUUUGACGCGCCAAACAAACGGGUACAUAUACGCGUGACCCGUUUCAAGAUAAUUUCUUAAUUAAAAGCGGCUAAUGCACAUAGGUUCUAAAUUGAGUAAUUAAACAAUUUGUUUAAGCCAAGUAUUAUCAAAGCAACCGUGCUAGAACCACGGAACUCGGAAGUUCCUAACACCUUCUGCCGGGUUAACAGAAUUUUUUACCCGAAUUUUUGUGUUCACAGACCGUAAAUAGAGUCAAACUUAACCGAUUGGGGAUUUUAAACAAGUGACUUGGGACACCAUAAAUUAUCCCAAGUGGCGACUGUAAUUUAAUAUAACUAAACCCAUUUCGAUUGGCACUUAAAUUGGAAAAAAACUCCCUUAUACCCUUCCGGGAAUAGUAAAAAGGAGGUGUGACAAGUACGGUUUCAGUUUGCAGUAGAGAUGCUUAAGUGCUAUUUGAUCCAGGGUCUACAUACUCCUAUGUGUCAUAUUAUUUUUCUACGUAUUUGGUUAUGCAUCGUAAUUCUUUGAGUGCUCAUGUAUAUGUGUCCACACCUGUGGGUGAUUCUAUUGUUGUAGAUCGUGUCUAUUGCGUGUGUGUGGUUAUUAUUGGGGGUCUUGAGGCCUGUGUAGAUCUCCUACUUCUGGAUAUGGUCGAUUUUGAUGUCAUCUUGGGAUAGAUUGGUUUUCACCUUAUCAUGCUAUAUUGCACUAUCACGCCAAGACCGUGAACUUAGCCUUACCAGGGUUGCCUCGAGUGGAGUGAAGGGGGACUCUUGGUCAUUUUACCAGUAGGGUCAUUUCUAAUAUAAAGGCUCGGUGUAUGGUCAAGAAGGGGUGUUUGGCUUAUUUGGCUUAUGUUCGUGAUUCUAGUGCAGAGGUUCCUUCUAUGGAGUCCAUACCAGUUGUUCGUGAAUUUCUAGAGGUAUUUCCUACAGAACUGUCAGGGAUGCCACCUGACAAGGAUAUUGACUUUUGCAUCGAUGUGGCUCUGGGCACUCAACCCAUUUCCAUUCGGCCAUACCACAUGGCCCCGCCAGAGUUGAAAGAAUUGAAGGAAUAGUUGCAAGAGUUUGCAAUACUUGUUCAAGCAGAAGGAGCUAAAUUUGAGGCAGCGGAGGUGGUUGUAGCUAUUGAAAGACUAUGAUAUCACCAUCUUGUAUCAUCCUGGGAAGGCCAAUGUAGUGGUCAAUGCUUUGAGUAGGAAGUCAGCCAGUAUGGGCAGCCUUGCAUAUAUUCCAGUCGGUGAGAGACCGCUUGCUUUGGAAGUUCAGGCUUUAGCCAAUCAAUUUAUGAGGUUGGAUAUUUAUGAUCCCGACCGUGUUCUAGCUUGCACAGUCGCUCGGUCUUUAUUAUUUGACAAAAUCAGAGAUCGGCAGUAUGAUGAUCCUCAUUUGCUUGCCCUUAGGGACACAGUGCAACACGAAGAUGCCAAGAAGGUUUCAGUUGGAGAUGAUAGAGUUUUGAGGAUGCAGGGUCGUGUUUACGUGCCUAAUGUGGAUGGACUUCGUGAGUUGAUUCAAGAGGAUGCCCAUAGUUCCCGAUAUUCUAUUCAUCCAGGCACUGCCAAGAUGUAUCAGAACUUGCAGCAAUAUUAUUGGUGGAUGAGAAUGAAGAAGGAUAUUGUUUCAUAUGUAGCACAGUGUUUGAAUUGUCAGCAGGUAAAGUACGAGCAUCAGAGACCUGGUGGUUUGCUUCAGAAAAUUGAGACUUGAGUGGAAAUGGGAGCGUAUCAUUGUGGACUUAGUCGUUGGACUCCCACGGACUCAGAGGAAAUUCAAUGCAGUAUGGGUUAUUGUGGAUAGGAUGACUAAGUUGGCGUACUUCAUUCUGGUGGUGGUUUCCUAUUCUUCGGAGCGGUGUAGAGAUAUAUAUCCGUGAGAUCAUUCGUCUUCUUGGUGUGCCCGUGUCUAUCAUUUCUAAUUGGGGUACGCAAUUUACCUCGCAUUUCUUGAGGGCAGUUCCACGUGAGUUGCGUACGCGGGUCAAGUUGAGCACACCAUUUCAUCCUCCGAUGGAUGGACAGUCCGAACGUACUAUUUAGAUUUUGGAGGACAUGCUUCGAGCCUGAGUUAUUGACUUUGGAGGUUAUUGGGAUCAGUUUUUACCGUUAGCGAAGUUUGCCUACAAUAACAGCUAUCAGUCGAGCAUCCAGAUGGCCCUUUAUGAGGCAUUAUAUGGGAGACAGUGUCGAUCUCCAGUUGGGUAAUUUGAGCUGGGGGAGGCUCGGUUGUUGGUUACAGAUAUGGUAUAGGAUUCCUUGGACAAGGUUAAGAUCAUUCAGGAUAGACUUCAUAUAGCCCAGUCCAUGUAAAAGAAUUAUACCGAUUGUAAGGUUCGUGAUGUGGCAUUCAUGGUCAGAGAGCGAGUAUUGCUUCGAGUGUCGCCCAUGAAGGGCGUGAUGAGAUUUGGGAAGAAGGGCAAGCGAAGCCCUAGGCUCAUCGGGCCUUAUGAGAUCCUUGAUCGAGUGAGAGAGGUGGCUUACAGACUUGCAUUGUCGUCGGGCUUAUCAGCGGUGCAUCCAGUGUUUCAUGUUUCCAUGCUUCGGAAGUAUUACGGCGAUCCAUCCCACGUGUUAGACUUUAGCACUGUCUAGUAGGACAAGGAUUUGACCUACGAGGAGGAGCCGGCAACUAUUCUAGACCGGCAGGUUUGACAGUUGAGAUUGAAGAUUUAUCUAUCAGUUCGUGUGUAAUGGAGAGGUCUGACCAUUGAAGCAGCUACCUAGGAGUCCGAGUUCGAUAUGUGGAGCCUAUAUCCCUAUCUUUUCACCAACUCAGGUACUUUUCUAUGUCCGUUCGUGGACGAACGGUUGUUUUAGAGGUGGAGAAUGUGAUGACCCAAAGGGUUAUGUUUUGUUUAUAAUCCAAAUCCGGGUUUUGAGGCCUUGAAAACCUUAUUUUACUUCUCCUCAUUUUGCGUGCAUUGUCUGAGCGCAUUUUCCGAAAAGCCGUUAUGUAAAAUCUAAGGAAAAUGUAGAAUUUUGCCUUUUAAAUUUAUUAAACUUGACUUUGGUCAACGUUUUUGCUAAAUGAACCCAGACGCGUGAUUUGACGGUCCCUUAGGGUCCAUAGUAAAAUAUGGGACUUGGGCGUAUGCUUGGAAUCGAAGUCCGAGGUCCCUAGCCCGAGAAAUGAAUUUUGGUUCUGAAGCCCGGUAUUGGUUUUUUAUAGUAUUUAAGUCGUAUCUGUGAAAUUUGGUGGAAAACCGGAAGAGAUUUGUUAUAAUUCGAAUCUUGGUUGAGAAAAUAGAAACUUUGAACUAUCUUGAGAAUUUCAUGAGUUUUGGUGCUAAAUUCGUUGUUUAAGAUGUUAUUUUGGCGAUUUGAUUGCACGAACAAGUUCGUAUGAUAUUUUUAGACCUGUGUGAAUAUUUGGUUUGGAGCCCCGAGGGCUCGGGUGAGUUUCGGAUAGGCUACGUGUGUUUUGGAACUUAGAAAAUAUUGCUGGUAUGCUUCAGCUGUUGCAGGCGUCUGAUCUCACAAUUGCUAGAUCAGGCUUUGCAAUUGCGAGCUUCACAGGCUUGGCAAUUGCGAGCCUUUCAUUGCAAAUGCGACCAAAAGGUUGGGCCAGUAUGUUCGCAUUUGCGAAAUCAACAGGGAGGGUAAACCUUCGCAAUUGCGACAGUAGGAGACAUGCGGCACGUUCACAUUUGCGAAGCCUAUCUCGCAUUUGCGAGCUUUGCAAUUGAGGUCGGAUUUCAAAACCAAUUGCAUAUUUGGGUUCGUGGGUGAAUGGGUAGUUUGGUUUUGGUUCGAACUUCGAGUUUUGACCAAGCGGUCCCAGGGUUAGUUUUUGACUUUUUGUGGAAAAUAUUGGAAAAUCUAUACUCAUGCAUUAAAAUUGGUUUAUUUAGCGUUAAUUGAUGUUAAUUAAUUAAUUCUGCAUAGAUUCAGGCGAUUUGGAAGUGAAAAUCAAAGGAAAAGCGGUAAUUGAGGCUUGAUUAUUGGCCAUGGAAUCAAGGUAAGUGUUUGGUCUAACCUUAGCUUGAGGAAAUAUGUGUUGUUGUCUUAUUUGCUAUGUGUUAGUAUUGAUUACGACGUAUAGGUGUUGUGGACAAGUAUCUAUAAGUUGGUGUCGAGCAUGCAAGUGAGUCUUAUACCAUGACUGUUGUGUCUCUUAUUACGUACUUUUCAUGCUUAAAUUGAUGAUUAUCCAUGUUGAACAAGUCUUAUGAUAUUUUCUUGGUAUUGGAUCAUUGAUGAGUAUUGACUCAAGUUGAGACUCACAUUGUAAAUUUAAUUGUUGAAACGAGAUUAGUUAUAGUUGAUUCCCUUGCCGGGAUGUUAUUAUCUCUAAUGUUUGGGUGAGGAAGAGUGUAAAGCACGAAGGAUGAUGUCGUGCAUGAUAUUGUGAGAGAGUGUAAUGCACGAAGUGUGAUUCUGUGACAUUUUCAGUGAGUGUUAAUGCACGAAGGGUGAUGCCAUACCUAUUUCUGUGAGUGUUAGUGCACAAAUGGUGAUGUCGUGCCAUGAUUAUGAGAGAGUUAAUGCACGAAGGGUGAUGUCGUCCCGUUUCUGUUGAUUUUAUGGCAAGGACUUCAGUAAAAGCACGAAGGGUGAUGUCGUGCACGUGUUACUGUGUUAUCAUUUCUGUUGGUUCAAGUUUGAUAUUUACCUUGCUUUAUUACUUUAUUACUGUCAUAAUCUGACAUUCUCCUCAGCAUGUUUCCCUUUCCCGUCUUUAUUUGUUAAAUUUCUGUUAUUAUUGUUUCUCGUAUAUGAUUUAACUAUACAGGUUAUAUUAUUGUCGUGUCCUAGCCUCGUCACUACUUCACCGAGGUUAGGCUUGACACAUACCAAUACAUGGGGUCGGUUGUACUGAUACUGCACUCUACACUUUUUGUGUAGAUUUCGUUGCUAGACCUCGUGAGUAGUGUUGAGGUUGCUGCCUUCGGUCCAUGGGAGACCCAAGGUAGAUCUGCCGGUGUCCGCAGAUCCUAGAGUCCCCCUUCCUCCGAUUUUUGAUUAUCUGUCUCUUUCUAUUUCGAGAACAAUUGUAAUUCUUUAAACCAGUAUUUGUAGAGCUUCUUAGACGUUUGUGAAUUGUGACACCAGAUCAUUGGGGUAGAAAUGUAUUGGAGUAUUUUGAAUUGUUAUAGCACUUCCGCACUUUAUAUAUGUUUAGCUUUUGUUAUUAUUUAUUUCUGUUUGGGUUAAUUGUUAAUGUGUUAAAACCGUAAUUAUUGGCUUGCCUAGCAUUCAAGAGUUAAGCAUCAUCACUAUCCCGACGGUGGGAAAUCCGGGUCGUGACAAGUUGGCAUCAGAGCACUAGGUUGUCUAGGUGUCAAAAUUCACUAACAAGCUAGGUAGAGUAUGAGGGAUCAGUACGGAGACAUUUGUGCUUAUCACCCAAAGGCUACAGAGUUUAGGAAUAACUUCACAUCUAUUUUUCUCUGUCGUGCGAUUUGACUUCUCAAUGCUAAUUGAACUUCUACUCUGUUCUUUCGCAGAUGGCGAGAACACGUACCGCUUAUCAGCAGCCCGAGCCCCUAGUGGCAGCUCCUACGAGGGGUAGAGGAUGAGGCCGAGGCUGUGCUAGGGGUCGAGGCAUGGGUAGGGCUCAGCCUAGAGCUCGAGUAGCAGCACUAGAACCGGAUCCACACGUAGAGUUUGAGGAUGAGGUUCUGGCCCAGACCGUUCCUGCAGGGCCAGCUCAGGUUCCAGAGGGGUUUAUCGCUACCCUGGUACUUCCGGAUGCUUUGGUUCGUCUAGUGGGUCUUUUGGAGAGCGUAGCUCAGACUUGCACCUUCCUUGUAGCACUAGUCGUCUCUCAGCUGGGGAAGGAUCUCAGACUCCCACUACCCACCCUUUGGAGCGGAUGGCACCUCAGUUCCAGACUCCAACAGCUCAGCCAGUAAGAGCAGCAUAGCAAGUUGUUGCAGCUCAGGCCGUUGGUGGCUCCUCUAUGUCUUCUGAGGGUUUGUUGAGGUUGGAUAAGUUCAACAAGCUUUUCCCGGUUCAUUUCAAUGGGGCAGCUUCUGAGGACCUCCAGGAUUAUCUUGACCUUCUUCCAUGAGAUGUUGCGGAACAUGGGGACAGUAGAGGCCAAUGGGGUCGACUUCGAUGUAUUGCAGAUGAUAGGGUCUGCCAAGAGAUGGUGGAAUGAUUUUGUGUUGACUAGACCAGCUGGAUCACCUACCUUGACUUGAGACCAGUUGUCUGAGCUAUUUUUGGAGAAGCUCCUUCCUGUCACUCGGAGAGAGAACUACCACAGGCGGUUCGAGCAUCUUCAAUAGGAUUCUAUAACUGUAACUCAGUUCGAGACUAGGUUUGUUGAUUUGGCUCGCCAUGCUCUUCUUAUACUCCCUACCGAGAGAGAGAGAGAGAGAGAGAGAGAGAGAGAGAGAGAGAGAGUAGUAGUANNNNNNNNNNNNNNNNNNNNNNNNNNNNNNNNNNNNNNNNNNNNNNNNNNNNNNNNNNNNNNNNNNNNNNNNNNNNNNNNNNNNNNNNNNNNNNNNNNNNNNNNNNNNNNNNNNNNNNNNNNNNNNNNNNNNNNNNNNNNNNNNNNNNNNNNNNNNNNNNNNNNNNNNNNNNNNNNNNNNNNNNNNNNNNNNNNNNNNNNNNNNNNNNNNNNNNNNNNNNNNNNNNNNNNNNNNNNNNNNNNNNNNNNNNNNNNNNNNNNNNNNNNNNNNNNNNNNNNNNNNNNNNNNNNNNNNNNNNNNNNNNNNNNNNNNNNNNNNNNNNNNNNNNNNNNNNNNNNNNNNNNNNNNNNNNNNNNNNNNNNNNNNNNNNNNNNNNNNNNNNNNNNNNNNNNNNNNNNNNNNNNNNNNNNNNNNNNNNNNNNNNNNNNNNNNNNNNNNNNNNNNNNNNNNNNNNNNNNNNNNNNNNNNNNNNNNNNNNNNNNNNNNNNNNNNNNNNNNNNNNNNNNNNNNNNNNNNNNNNNNNNNNNNNNAGAGAGAGAGAGAGUUAGAAGGUUCAUUGAGGGACUCGCUCAGCCUAUUAGAUUGCAUAUGGCUAAGGAGACGGGUAGCGAGAUUUCUUUUCAGGAUGCGGCCAAUGUGGCCCAGCGAGUUGAGGUAGUUCUAGCUUAGGGGAGUGGUCAGGGGUUUGGCAAGAGGCCUUCUUAUUCUGGUAGGUUCAGUGAUGCCUCGUCUGGAUGCAGGGAUUCUUUUAGCAGGGGCCAUUCUCCCAAGCCAUUUCAUGCAGCACUUCAGGCUUCUCUUCGUGCUCAGGUGGCCGUGGUUCUCAAAUGUAAUAUUUUGAUCAGCUACCCUACAGUGCACCACCAGCUCCUAUCAGUGCACUCCCACUCCAGAGUUUUCAGCGUGGUUACUCAGGUCGUCAGGGUCAGUUUCAGGGUCAGCAGUCCCAAUCGUCGAGGACUUGUUAUACUUGUGGCGACCCAAGGCACAUUGCUAGAUUAUGCCCUCGAGCCUCGAGCAGUUCUCAGCAUUAGGGUUCUCGUGCCAUAUUUCAGGCAGCGGGUGUCCCACCGCCUGCUCAGCCAGCUAGAGGUUGAGGUCAGGUAGCUAGAGGUGGAGGUCAAAGUACUAGAGGUGGAGGCCAAGACGCUAGAGGUGGAGGCCAGCAAACAGGAGGUCGUCCCAGGAAUGUUAUUCAGAGUGGUAGGGCCUAGCCCCGAUGUUAUGCUUUCCCAGCCAGACCUGAGGCUGAGGCAUCUGAUGCUGUUAUCACAAGUACAGUUUCAGUUUGCAGUAGAGACGCUUAAGUUCUAUUUGAUCCAUGGUCUACAUACUCCUAUGUGUCAUCUUAUUUUGCUAUAUAUUUGGUUAUGCCUCGUGAUUCUUUGAGUGCACCUGUAUAUGUGUCCACACCUGUAGGUGAUUCUAUUGUUGUGGAUCAUGUCUAUCACGUGUGUGUGGUUAUUAUUGGGGGUCUUGAGGCCCGUGUAGAUCUCCUACUUCUGGAUAUGGUCGAUUUUGAUGCAUCUUAGGGAUAGAUUGGCUGUCCCCUUAUCACGCCAUAUUGGACUGUCAUGCCAAGACUGUGACCUUAGCCUUACCGGGGUUGCCUCGAUUGGAGUGGAGGGGGACUCCUGGUCAUUGUACCAGUAGGGUCAUUUCUAAUAUGAAGGCUCGGCAUUUGGUCGAGAAUGGGUGUUUGGCUUAUUUGGCUUAUGUUCGCGAUUCCAGUGUAGAGGUUCCUUCCAUGGAGUCCGUACCAGUUGUUCGUGAGUUUCCAGAGAUUAUUCCUAUAGAACUGUCAUAGAUGCCACUUCACAAGGAUAUUGACUCUUGCAUCAAAGUGGUUCUAGGCUCUCAACCCAUUUACAUUCGGCCAUACCACAUGGUCCUGCCAGCGUUGAAAGAAUUGAAUGAGCAGUUACAAGAGUUUGCAAUACUUGUUCAAGUUAAAGGAGCUAAAUUUGAGGCAAAGGGGGUGGUUGGAGUUAUUGAAAGACUAUGAUAUCACCAUCUUGUAUCAUCCUGGGAAGGCCAAUGUAAAGGUCGAUGCUAUGAGUAGGAAGUCAGCCUGUAUGGGCAGCCUUAGGGACAUAGUGCAGCACGGAGAUGCCAAGUAGGUUUCAGUUGGAGAUGAUGGAGUUUUGAGGAUGCAGUGUCGUGUUUCCGUGCCUAAUGUGGAUGGACUUCGUGAGUUGAUUCUAGAAGACGCCUAUAGUUCGCGGUAUUCUAUUCAUCCGAGAACCGCCAAGAUGUAUCAGGACUUGCGGCAAUAUUAUUGGUGGAGGAGAAUAUAGAAGGAUAUUGUUGCAUAUGUAGCACGAUGUUUAAAUUGUCAGCAUGUAAAGUACGAGCAUCAGAGACCUGAUGGUUGCCUUAGAAGAUUGACAACUGAGUGGAAGUGGGAGCGUAUCAGUAUGGACUUCUUCGUUGGACUCCCACGGACUCAGAGGAAAUUCAAUGCAGUAUGGGUUAAUGUGGAUAGGCUGACUAAGUCGGGGCACUUCAUUCCGAUGGCGAUUUACUAUUCUUUGGAACGGUUGGCAGAGAUUUAUAUCUGUGAGAUCGUUCAUGUUCAUGGUGUUCCAGUGUCUAUCAUUUCAGAUCGGGGUACGCAAUUUACCUUGCAUUUGUGGAGGGCAGUUCAGCGUGAGUUGGGGACACGGGUCGAGUUGAGCAAAACAUUUAAUCCUCAGACGGACGGACAGUCGGAACAUACUAUUCAGAUCUUGGAGGACAUGCUUUGAGCCUGUGUUAUUGACUUUGGAGGUUCUUGGGAUCAGUUUUUACCGUUAACGGAGUUUGCGUACAACAACAGUUAUCAGUCGAGCAUCCAGAUGGCCCCUUAUGAGGCAUUAUAUGGGAGACGGUGUCAAUCACCAGUUGGGUGGUUUGAGUCGGGGGAGGCUCGGUUGUUGGGUACUUAUUUGGUAUAGGAUGCCUUGGACAAGAUUAAGAUCAUUCCGGAUAGACUUCGUAUAGCCCAGUCCCAGCCAAAGAGUUAUACCGACCUUAAGGUUCGUGAUGUGGCAUUCCUGGUCGGAGAGCGAGAGUUGUUUCGAAUGUCGCCCAUGAAGGGCGUGAUGAGAUUAGGGAAGAAGGGCAAGCUAAGCCCUAGGUUCAUCGGGCGUUUUGAGAUCCUUGAUCGAGUGAGAGAGGUGGCUUACAGACUUGUAUUGUCGUCGGGCUUAUCAGCGGUGCAUUCAAUGUUUCAUGUGUCCAUGCUUCGGAAGUAUUACGGUGAUCCAUCCCACGUGUUAGACUUUAACACUGUCCAGUAGGACAAGGAUUUGACCUACGAGGAGGACCCGAUGGCUAUUCUAGAUCGGCAGGUUCGACAGUUGAUAUCGAAGAGUUAUCCGUCAGUUCGUGUGCUGAAAAUUUCGCUUGUUGAGGCAGCUACCUGAGAGUCCGAGUCCAAUAUGUGGAGCCUAUAUCCCUUUCUUUUCAUCAACUCAGGUACUUUUCUAUGCGUUCGAGGACGAACGGUUGUUUUAGAGGUGGAGAAUGUGAUGACACAAAGGGUUAUGCUUUGUUAAAAAUCCGAAUCCGGGUUCCAAGGCCUUGAAAACCUAUUUUACUUCUCCUCGAUUUGCAUACGUAGUCCAAGUGCAUUUUCCGAAAAGCCAUUAUGUGAAAUCUAAGGAAAAUGUCGAAUUUUGCCUUUUAAAUUUAUUAAAGUUGACUUUGGUUAAUGUUCUUGGUAAACGAACCCGGACGUACGAUUUGACGAUCCCGUAGGGUCCGUAGUAAAAUAUGGGACUUGGGCGUAUGCUCGGAAUCGAAGUCCGAGGUCCCUAGCCCGAGAAAUGAAUUUUGGUUUCGGAUCCCGGUAUAGGUUUGAUAUAGUAUUUAAGUCGUAUCUGUGAAAUUUGGUGGAAAACCGGAAGAGAUUUGUUAUAAUUCGAACCCUUGGUUGAGAAAAUAGAAACUUUGAACUAUCUUGAGAAUUUCAUGAGUUUUGGUGCUAAAUUCGUUGUUUAAGAUGUUAUUUUGGUGAUUUGAUUGCACGAGCAAGCCUGUAUGAUGUUUUUAGACUUGUAUGCAUAUUGGGUUUGUAUCCCCGAGGGCUCGGGUGAGUUUCGGAUAGGCUACGGGGUGUUUUGGAACUUAGAAAAUAUUGUUGGUAUGCUUCAGGUGUAGUAAUUCUUUAAACCAGUAUUUGUAGAGCUUCUUAGAUGUUUGUGAAUUUUGACACCAAAUCAUUGGGGUAGACAUGUGUUGGAUUAUUUUGAACUAUUAUAACACUUCUGCACUUUAUAUUUGUUUAGCUUUAGUUAUUAUUUAUUUCUGUUUGGGUUAAUUGUUAAUGUGUUAAAACUGUAAUUGUUGGCUUGCCUAGCAUUCAAGAGUUCGACGCCAUCAUGAUCCCGACGGUGGGAAAUUCAGGUCGUUACAAGUCGGUAUCAGAGCACUAGGUUGCCUAGGUCUCACAAUGUACAAAUAAGCUAGGUAGAGUCUGAGGUAUCGGUAUGGAGAUGUCUGUGCUUAUCUCCCAGAGGCUACAGAGUUUAGGAAUAACUUCAAUUUUAUUCUUCUAUGGCGAUUGGACUUCUUAAUGCUAAUUGAACUUCUACUCUUUUCUUUCACAGAUGGUGAGAACACG